AAAGAACAAACACAAAACCACAUGAUCAAAGCCAAAUUCAAGAAAUAGUAACUGAAAUCAACGAUCUGGAACUUAUUCCAGGUGAAAUCCCACCGGGGUUAUUAAGUCCCAAAGGAAGCUCAACAGAGGGAAAAGACUAAACCAUAAAGAGACGAUGCAAACCAGACUUACGAGAGUUGGAUUUCGCAGUGACAGUCUGAAGCUCUGAAUAUUCGGAUGAAAUGGAACCACAAAACAAGCUCCUUAAAGAUAAAAAUGAUUCUUUUAUCUGUCUUCUUCUUCUUCGUCUACUUCAUCUUCUUAUUCU